CACGUAGGGCGCAAGCGUUGUCCGGAAUUAUUGGGCGUAAAGAGCUCGUAGGCGGUCUGUUGCGUCCGCUGUGAAAACUCGGGGCUUAACCCCGAGCCUGCAGUGGAUACGGGCAGACUAGAGGUAGGUAGGGGAGAAUGGAAUUCCCGGUGUAGCGGUGAAAUGCGCAGAUAUCGGGAGGAACACCGGUGGCGAAGGCGGUUCUCUGGGCCUUAC
rnacentral:rRNA from 1 species